CUCUCCGUUCCGCGUCCCAUCUCCUGCAGCAUCCCCAGGCAGUGCAGCCCACGAUGCUCUUUGCUCACCCUCAGGAUCUUGGCGUUCACGUGGUUCCGCUUUGUCUCAUGCCUGACUAACCGUGCCUUGUGCCAAGGAGCAUGCUGAAGCUGCUGUGCAUUAUCACGUGGAAACUCGUGUACAAUGGCCAAUCUGUGUUCCCACGUCGUCUAAAUAAAUGGUUGCUUAGCAUCCAGAAUCAUCCUGCUUGGGAUUAUCUCCCCAUAUGCCAGUGUUGCAGCACUGAAUGGUGUGGAUGUGCAGGGAGAGCAGAGCCUUUUGUUGUUCAUGGCUGUAAGGGGUAGCUGCGAUGAUUUCGGGUUUUGUAAUAGUUGGCCAAAUUCUGGAGGCUUGCCCAAAUAACUCUUAGUUUGCUCCGAAGAUCUUCAGCUCGUGUGUUUGCAGACCUGUGGCCACAGGAUGCCGACAAAUAAAGUGGAUUUUUUAUCAGCAUCACAAAUCUGCUUCGAUAGCAGAGUAUUGAGGAACUUAAGAUUAAGGAAAAAUCACCCCUAUUGCUAAGAGCACUGACUGCAGUUACCAAGGCUCUGCGUUCUGUCAGCACGGUGUGUAAGUUCCUACUUCUUUCAGCCUCGCUGUUGGUCAGAGAGGCACUUGGCACAUUCUGUACAUCCACGUGUUCUCCGGUGGUGCAUCGCGCUGCGCCUGGGCUGCAUUGUGUUGUGCGAACGUGAUUUGCUCACAGCACUGAAAUGAGCGUGGUGAAUUUGCCCCGUUUCCUUGUUUAGAGGGCUUCCAACGCUGUCUGUGCCCUGCAGGGUUUUGCCUGUCUCAUUUCAGCACGUGUUGCUGCUGACAGCAGUAAGGGACAGAGCGCACUUGACCCACUUAGGGCACAAAACCUGCAGGGUGUG
rnacentral:lncRNA from 1 species